AUGUAGCAAUACAGGGUGAUGGACUGCCUUUUGCAUAAUGAGCCUGCGAGUUGUGGUGUCUGGCAAGGUUAAGCAAACGCGAAGCCGUAGCGAAAGCGAGUCUGAAUAGGGCGCUUAGUCAGAUGCUGCAGACCCGAAACGAAGUGAUCUAUCCAUGAGCAAGUUGAAGCUAGUGUAAGAACUAGUGGAGGACUGAACCCAUAGGCGUUGAAAAGCCCCGGGAUGACUUGUGGAUAGGGGUGAAAGGCCAAUCAAACUUCGUGAUAGCUGGUUCUCUCCGAAAUAUAUUUAGGUAUAGCGUUGUGUCGUAAUAUAAGGGGGUAGAGCACUGAAUGGGCUAGGGCAUACACCAAUGUACCAAACCCUAUCAAACUCCGAAUACCUUAUAUGUAAUCACAGCAGUCAGGCGGCGAGUGAUAAAAUCCGUCGUCAAGAGGGAAACAACCCAGACUACCAGCUAAGGUCCCUAAAUCUUACUUAAGUGGAAAACGAUGUGAAGUUACUUAAACAACCAGGAGGUUGGCUUAGAAGCAGCCAUCCUUUAAAGAAAGCGUAAUAGCUCACUGGUCUAGUGAUUUUGCGCGGAAAAUAUAACGGGGCUAAAGUAAGUACCGAAGCUGUAGACUUGCACACAACUUAGAUUAUUUAAGUUUAGAAUAUGAGAAACUAAGUUAUAUGUUUAGUUAUAUUUUUACUGAUUUUUAUAGAGUAAAGAUAGAAAUAAAACUUAGUAAAAUCAGUAAAAAUAUUCUUAGACUAAAGUUAAGUAGUUUAAGUUGUGUGCAAGUGGUAGGAGAGCGUUCUAUUUGCGUCGAAGGUAUACCGGUAAGGAGUGCUGGAGCGAAUAGAAGUGAGCAUGCAGGCAUGAGUAGCGAUAAUUAAUGUGAGAAUCAUUAACGCCGUAAACCCAAGGUUUCCUACGCGAUGCUCGUCAUCGUAGGGUUAGUCGGGUCCUAAGUCGAGUCCGAAAGGGGUAGACGAUGGCAAAUUGGUUAAUAUUCCAAUACCAACAUUAGUGUGCGAUGGAAGGACGCUUAGGGCUAAGGGGGCUAGCGGAUGGAAGUGCUAGUCUAAGGUCGUAGGAGGUUAUACAGGCAAAUCCGUAUAACAAUACUCCGAGAACUGAAAGGCUUUUUGAAGUCUUCGGAUGGAUAGAAGAACCCCUGAUGCCGUCGAGCCAAGAAAAGUUUCUAAGUUUAGCUAAUGUUGCCCGUACCGUAAACCGACACAGGUGGGUGGGAUGAGUAUUCUAAGGCGCGUGGAAGAACUCUCUUUAAGGAACUCUGCAAAAUAGCACCGUAUCUUCGGUAUAAGGUGUGGUUAGCUUUGUAUUAGGAUUUACUCCGAAAGCAAGGAAACUUACAACAAAGAGUCCCUCCCGACUGUUUACCAAAAACACAGCACUCUGCUAACUCGUAAGAGGAUGUAUAGGGUGUGACGCCUGCCCGGUGCUCGAAGGUUAAUUGAUGGGGUUAGCAUUAGCGAAGCUCUUGAUCGAAGCCCGAGUAAACGGCGGCCGUAACUAUAACGGUCCUAAGGUAGCGAAAUUCCUUGUCGGUUAAAUACCGACCUGCAUGAAUGGCGUAACGAGAUGGGAGCUGUCUCAAAGAGGGAUCCAGUGAAAUUGUAGUGGAGGUGAAAAUUCCUCCUACCCGCGGCAAGACGGAAAGACCCCGUGGACCUUUACUACAGCUUGACACUGCUACUUGGAUAAGAAUGUGCAGGAUAGGUGGGAGGCUUUGAGUAUAUGACGCCAGUUGUAUAUGAGCCAUUGUUGAGAUACCACUCUUUCUUAUUUGGGUAGCUAACCAGCUUGAGUUAUCCUCAAGUGGGACAAUGUCUGGUGGGUAGUUUGACUGGGGCGGUCGCCUCCCAAAUAAUAACGGAGGCUUACAAAGGUUGGCUCAGAACGGUUGGAAAUCGUUCGUAGAGUAUAAAGGUAUAAGCCAGCUUAACUGCAAGACAUACAAGUCAAGCAGAGACGAAAGUCGGUCUUAGUGAUCCGGUGGUUCUGUGUGGAAGGGCCAUCGCUCAAAGGAUAAAAGGUACCCCGGGGAUAACAGGCUGAUCUCCCCCAAGAGCUCACAUCGACGGGGAGGUUUGGCACCUCGAUGUCGGCUCAUCGCAUCCUGGGGCUGGAGCAGGUCCCAAGGGUAUGGCUGUUCGCCAUUUAAAGCGGUACGCGAGCUGGGUUCAGAACGUCGUGAGACAGUUCGGUCCCUAUCUGCCGUGGGCGUAAGAAGAUUGAAGAGAUUUGACCCUAGUACGAGAGGACCGGGUUGAACAAACCACUGGUGUAGCUGUUGUUCUGCCAAGAGCAUCGCAGCGUAGCUAAGUUUGGAAAGGAUAAACGCUGAAAGCAUCUAAGCGUGAAGCCAACUCUAAGAUGAAUCUUCUCUAAGCUCUCUAGAAGACUACUAGUUUGAUAGGCUGGGUGUGUAAUGGAUGAAAGUCCUUUAGCUGACCAGUACUAAUAGAGCGUUUGGCUUAUCUUUAAUAAAGCAU
rnacentral:rRNA from 1 species